rnacentral:tRNA from 2 species
UAGAGUAUAGCUAAACAAGUUUAGUAUUUCAUUUACAUUGAAAUGGAUUAUCGUGCGAGUCGAUUUACUUUAA